UUUAUAGAAAAUAAACCGCUUACAAAAAACGCAUAAAGGGGAUGCUCUCAUGGGUACAAUCAUUUGCCAAAACUGCAACAAGACGAUCGAACAUUUUGAAGGUGAAAAGGUUACAAAACUUUAUGCUCAAGGACAUAACUGUAUUGAUUGCAAAUCAGCUAAGAAGCAAAAAUAAUUAUAAAAGAAGCAUGCCCCUCAUAACGGGGGCAUGCUUCUUU
rnacentral:sRNA from 1 species